GAUGAACGCUGGCGGCGUGCCUAAUACAUGCAAGUCGAGCGAACGGACGAGAAGCUUGCUUCUCUGAUGUUAGCGGCGGACGGGUGAGUAACACGUGGAUAACCUACCUAUAAGACUGGGAUACCUUCGGGAAACCGGAGCUAAUACCGGAUAAUCUUUUGAACCGCAUGGUUCAAAAGUGAAAGACGGUCUUGCUGUCACUUAUAGAUGGAUCCGCGCUGCAUUAGCUAGUUGGUAAGGUAACGGCUUACCAAGGCAACGAUGCAUAGCCGACCUGAGAGGGUGAUCGGCCACACUGGAACUGAGACACGGUCCAGACUCCUACGGGAGGCAGCAGUAGGGAAUCUUCCGCAAUGGGCGAAAGCCUGACGGAGCAACGCCGCGUGAGUGAUGAAGGUCUUCGGAUCGUAAAACUCUGUUAUUAGGGAAGAACAUAUGUGUAAGUAACUGUGCACAUCUUGACGGUACCUAAUCAGAAAGCCACGGCUAACUACGUG
rnacentral:rRNA from 1 species